UGUAAUUAUUAUAUUUAAGAAAAAAAAUAAGGCGAUACGAAGUUUGCCAGGUCAGCUAGUAAUUACUAUAAUAGAAAUUUUCGAUACAAAACUCUUAAUAUUACCACAAAUUUAAUCAAAUUGUUAUAACGUGUUUAAAUAAUUACUUUAUUCUGUUAUUACCAACUUUUCCCAAAAGGAAAGGAAGACAAUGAAAGCGUAUAUGUUGACGUACUUUUUCAAAAUCGCAUUACUUUGGCGUAGCUUAGCAUAUUUUUAAGUAAAAUUGGAAGGUAUAAUAGUAAGUUGAAAUGCAGGGUCUGUUUCAUCAUUUGUGGAUAAGGUUUAUCCUGCACAUAAGUUGCGGAUAGACUAACAGCAGGAGAUAGAAUAGGCCGUUAGUUACAAUUCACAAUAGAUAUAUCUUUAAUAGACUCUAACCCAUAAAUAAUUUGGAAUUCAAUGAUGGAAAAGGAAAAUAAUGGU
rnacentral:misc_RNA from 1 species